rnacentral:rRNA from 1 species
UACGGAGGGGGCUAGCGUUGUUCGGAAUUACUGGGCGUAAAGCGCACGUAGGCGGCUUUGCAAGUUGGAGGUGAAAGCCCGGGGCUCAACUCCGGAAUUGCCUUUAAAACUGCAUCGCUAGAAUUGUGGAGAGGUAAGUGGAAUUCCGAGUGUAGAGGUGAAAUUCGUAGAUAUUCGGAAGAACACCAGUGGCGAAGGCGACUUACUGGACACAUAUUGACGCUGAGGUGCGAAAGCGUGGGGAGCAAACAGG